CCAGCAAUCAGCCUGUGUUCUCUUGAUGACACGGCUGGCGGCUUCCGGGAAACCAAAGUCUUUCGGUUCCAGGGGAAGUAUGGUUGCAAAGCUGAAACUUAAAGGAAUUGACGGAAGGGCACCACCAGGAGUGGAGCCUGCGGCUUAAUUUGACUCAACACGGGGAAACUCACCCGGCCCGGACACUGUGAGGAUUGACAGGUUGAAGCCCUUUCUUGAUUCAGUGGGUGGUGGUGCAUGGCCGUUCUUAGUUGGUGGAGUGAUUUGUCUGGUUAAUUCCGAUAACGAACGAGACUCUAGCCUACUAAUUAGACUGAGGCAUCCUCGUGCUGCCUCAGCGCUUCCUAGAGGGACAGACGGCGUUUCAGCCGUAUGAGAAAGAGCAAUAACAGGUCUGUGAUGCCCUUAGAUGUCCGGGGCCGCACGCGCGCUACACUGAAGAGAUCAGCGUGUAUGUGCAUCCUACUCCGAGAGGAGCGGGAAACCGAGUGAACCCUUUUCGUGCUUGGGAUUGGAGCUUGUAAUUAUUCUCCAUGAACGAGGAAUUCCCAGUAAGUGCAAGUCAUCAGCUUGCAUUGAUUACGUCCCUGCCCUUUGUACACACCGCCCGUCGCUACUAUCGAUUGGAUGAUUUGGUGAGACCUUCGGACUGGUCGGUGAAGCGGCUCUCGUGGUCGCAUCGCUGUGCUGGGAAGAUGUUCAAACCUGACCAUCUAG
rnacentral:rRNA from 1 species